GAACUCGAUUCCGAUUACCGCAGGUCUCUCGGACUAGUUGAGAGGAUCAUUGUCGUUCCAGGUGCAUGUGGUUCGUCCGAUAGAUCGUAGCGUGGCGAAAGCACCGGAGCAGUCUCAGGAAUUACAAUGCGCCUGUAAAACCGGCUAGGCUUCCGACAUAGACGCGGUGGUCUGUCCCCCGAGUGCCAUUCUUCUGGAUCUGAUGCAGCGCAAUGUUCUUUUGCGUCUGCCGACGGGCGAGCUCGGUCAACGUAAUACAACUGCUUCGAAUUGAGGCUACCAUAUCUUCUGCUAGAGCGGAACAUGUUCCCUCGGGAAUGUGAACAACAACCGGCCUGGCCUCUGGAUCUGGAGAUCCAUGAGAGUUAAUGGGCCGACAACAUCCCGCGAGGUUAUAAUAGUGGUCCCGAAAUCGAGAAGGCUGGGCCAGCGGACACAGCACUGACUACGGGGUGAAAUUAUACAUUUCAUGUAUUCCACAGCACCCUGAUAGCCCAAAUCCUCUGUUGAUAAAAACAGGACUCCCAUCCGAGUCAGUGGAGAUAUAUCGGGUGCUGCUUUCCAUCGGCCAGCCCACGCACUGCUCUUGGGUAACGCAUUUGCGACACGAGCGAUGUCUGCCAUAGCCUCGGGAGAAUAGCGCAACACCUCUUGCCAUGGUUCGGGGAUUCUGGCAAACUCUACUAGUUCCACAAAUGCCCCGUUGGGGCAGUAUGCGUUCAGAACAGAUUGGGGAGGGGUUUGACCGAUCACCGUUCCAACCGGGAAUUGCCUGAAUGCGGCACGGUCCCGACGUCCCCGUGGGCCUACUAAGGCCCCGGUCAUAAUAUCGACGGGAACUGGGCCAUGGGAUGUGUUGAAUCUGUGGAUAGCUUCUACUAUCUCUGGACUAUCCGUCAUAGGGGGACGUGUCCGCAAGGCCAGAGGAGGAUGUCACCUGAAUAUCAUUGCGUUGGACGGCUCGGCCGGACUUGGGAGGACGCCCACGUGGGCGUCCUCCCCCACGCCUGUUUGCGGUUUCUUGGGGUAAGUAGUCCUCAUCUUCCAGUUUACGCGUUCGGGGCGAUGUUUUUCUCCCCUUAGACUGCGGUCCGGAUCGCCCACCACGAUUACUACCUCUGCCCCGACGCGGGCGGCUCGAACAAUCAGCCCGCGGUCUGGGGGGCGACGGAGAUGGUGACCUAGAUGAUGAAGGUGAAGACGGGACGAUUAGAGAAGAUGAUGACGGUGAGGAUGAUGAAGAGGAGGAAGAUGAAGAGGAUGGCGAUCUGGAAACAUGUCCGACGUUCCGGGCCGCGUGGUCUGGGGGAACUUCGUGGAGAUGAGGUUGUGUGAGGCAGUUCGCUCAUUCUGCCAGAAGAUGGAGUAGUCAGCCGUGGACCUGAGGCAUUUAAAGUCUUUCCAUGCCAAACCGGUCCAGGGAUUGGUGCUUCCAUCUCGGCCGUCCACCCAGGUAAUCUCGGGCAAUGGGAACAGCAAUCACUUUCGAAUUCCUUCAGCCCAAAGCACAACCGCGGGUCCACCGGGACUCUCCGACAUAGCUCGAGCCAAAAGGGAAUUGUAGCCCAGGCAAGAAGGGCGGUGCAUAUCUGCAAGUAAACAAAACUCGGGGUUCUGUACGAUUGGCCGGGGUCUUACAUGCUCGCCGAAUUGGAUUUGAGAAUCAAUCUUCCGACGGGUCUCCUGACUUGAACAGGGGAAAGGGGGAGGGGGAGUGUGUUAUCUUGUCGCGAACCAAUAA
rnacentral:sRNA from 1 species